AAAGCGAUGAAGCUGAUGCACUGUACUUGCCUGGUGUUGUCGAAGCCGAUGAUGCGGACAUAGGCGCCAGGGUAUUCCUUCUUGACCUCCUCCAACUCCUUGAGCACCUGCGUGGCGUCAGUGCACCCGAACAUGGGAAGCUUCCACAUUGUCCAGUACCUCCCGUCCUAGUACCCUGGGGAGUUGCCGUGCUCACGGAAGACGAAACCGACCUUGCUGAACUCGAGGCAAGGAACCCAUUUGGAGCGGAUGAGAUACUCGAUCUGCUUCAGGAGGGACUCCACGGUGAGAGGUGGCAGGUAGGAAAGGGUCUCGAACUUCUUGAUGCCCUCAAUUGGCCACACCUGCAAUUAGAUUAAAAUUAGCACACAAAGUGUGAUUUGAGACACAUAUCGAUGGAGUAUUUCACUUCACACAUAUCGGUAUGAUGAUAUACAUACCUGCAUGCUCGUGAUCCUGCCACCGUUGGAGACGCUGCCGAGGCCAGCGCCGGCAGAGCGGCGGCUGACGGGGAGCCCGGCGGUGGACUUGAGGCCCCGGAAAGGAGCAACAGCGGUAGCCGCCGCCGACAUCACUGUCGGACCCAUAGCAUCCACCCUUGUAUCACUAGAGUAUAUCUACUUAGCUAAUAUGCUAAGUUUGGCACGGAGAGAGGAGGUCGAGUGGACUUCAUUCCUGGUCACAAGGGUUUAUAUAUACCAUAUAACAUACGAGCAAUUUGUGAUUAAUUUGUUGUCGUUCUAGGAGAUGUGGAAAGGGUGGAUGCCGUUCGUUGGUUGCCUUAUCCGUUCUAGAGAAGGGAUGGAUGACCGACGCUCGCUCAGCCGUCUCCUUCGUCCAUCGUUGCCAAUCUUUCUAGCUAUAAUUGGAAGUUCCAAAGGAACAUACGGUUUCAUGCCUACUUCCAUCGGCCUAUCAUGUACCAAUCCAAUAAAAGGACAUCGUUCAACCAUCAAUCCAUGUGUGUGUAGUAAGUGAUUGGCUACGAACCUUCAGCUGACUUGCUUUAUUGGAUAUUUCUGUAAAGCGAGUCCACGGUGUGUGGGUUUAAAAUCUCGUGGCGGCAACUGUUGACGGGUGCAAAUAUCAGUAGCCUUAAAACAAUAAACUUUACUCCGUCCCUUCCGAAAUGCAAGAAUGUCCUAAGUCAAACUUCUUAUGCUGCAGGACCAUAGUUUUUGAGGUGUUCUUCUCACGAGUCCACGAAGAACGGGAAUUUUUUGGUGUCGGGUAAGGGCGGGGGAAUAUAUAGAUGCUAGCAUCAGCAUGACGGGCUAACGGGUCAGGUAGGAUUUUGGACGACGUAGCACCUGACAUGUGGGGGCCACAUGUAAGAAAACCUGUCAAAAUGUCAUAACCCUCUGUUUUGGUCAACUUGAUACAAUCUGAUACAAAACGUGUGGUUUUCCUGACAAAUUAGCAAAUUUUGUGUCUCUGUGAGAAGCACGCCCCAAAAACUGUGGUUCCGUGAAAUUUAUUCACUAGUUACACUUUAUCUACAAACAUCUACGAUUCUAAAAUAGUUUGGUAUAUAUUUUCCGUAAUAUAAUUAUUUGAUAUUCUAAAUUCGGGGAUUUGUUCUUAUAAACUUGGUCGAAGUUUAAAAAGUUUGACUUCGGACAAAGUUACGACUUUUUACAUUUAGGAAUGAAGGGAAUACAUUUUAGUAAAGCAAUUGAGGAAUUGACAGAAUUAAAUAUCUUAAAUUAUACUGGUCCAUCGUGUACUCAUGGCAACAAAAUAAAUUUAUAGUCGAAAAGUUGGACCAUGAAAACUUAAAACGUGAUACAUUAAAAUUGUUGAAUCACUCUACAUCUUGUAAUUUUCUCUUGCAACCUUCUGGCGCGCUACUCAUUCCACAUUUGGUACUAUAUGUAUAAAUGUAUAUAUAUACCGCAUUAGGAGCCUCUAUUACUGUUUUAGUAUAAAUAGCAGUUUCCAUCGACUAUGCACUUCAUUAACUUUUUCUUCACGAGAUAACUUGCUUAUCGAUUUUCUUUAAUUAUCCAGAUGGCUUCUACUAGUUUGUUUCCUUGCUUACUGGGAUUUCCGCAGACUUUACGGUUAGGUAUUAUUGUCGUGUGGACAACACGGUGGCCGGAUGUUGAGAUGAUGAUGUCCUUUAUCUCCGUGUUGCUUCUGAGGACUGCGGAUCCGAGGCUAGUGGCGGUAUGGGAUGCCUCUCUACCUCUUGAUCAGGUCAAUCCGGCUCAGCAAGAGGCGGAUCGAUGGUGGCCGGUGUGACUAGAAGCGGGGAGGUAUAUAUGAAACGUUUCUUGCUUCCAGCAUCUCUUCUAGCGGUAUAUAUGUCGUCAGCUGGUUGAGGGAUUGAUGGCAAUCGAUCAUGGCUACGAUGACAUGUAUACGCGCCGGUAGGAACACAUAUCAGGCAAUGUCGAUGCACCUGCAUUGGGCCCUUGCUGAAGGUGGUGGUGCGUAUGGCAGUCUAAAGAUUUAAGACACAAAUUUAGACUUAAAACUUAAAUAAUCAAUUUGUGCCAGCGGGAAACACACAAACACGUACCGGUAAAUUAUCAUAAUCAGAAUUUGUCGACGAAUUUGAUAUUCUUUUACAAAAUAUACUUAUCUUAAUAUGUAUAACCGGAGUUUAUAUUACAUGCCCCUCUCCCAACGAUAGUUGUAGUACUCUUAUAAUAGUAGUACUCAUGAAUACAGUUAAUCCGGGUUGUUGGGAGAGAUCACAUGCAUAAAUACAACAUGAAACAAACGUGUGAAAAAGGUACAUAAAAUCGGUGUGACCCGUUCUUGUAUUAUAAGAAAUCAACUUGCUUAGGCCUUGCCGGACUCCUCACAACCCGGUGGCUUGAAGGCGAUGAAGCUGAUGCACUGCACUUGCCUGGUGUUGUCGAAGCCGAUGAUGCGGACAUAGGCGUCAGGGUACUCCUUCUUCACCUCCUCCAGCUCCUUUAGCACCUGCGUGGCGUCGGUGCACCCGAACAUGGGAAGCUUCCACAUUGUCCAGUACCUGCCGUCGUAGUACCCGGGAGAGUUGCCGUGCUCACGGAAGACGAAACCGACCUUGCUGAACUCGAGGCAAGGAACCCACUUGGAGCGGAUGAGAUACUCGAUCUGCUUCAAGAGGGACUCCACGGUGAGAGGCGGCAGGUAGGAAAGGGUUUCGAACUUCUUGAUGCCCUCAAUUGGCCACACCUACAAUUAGAUUAAUAAUUAGCACCGAAAGUAUAAUUUGAGACACAUAUCAGUAUUUCACUUCAACAUAUGUACAUGAUGACAUACAUACCUGCAUGCACCUGAUCCUUCCACCGUUGGAGACGCUGCCGAGACCAGCGCUGGCUGAGCGGCGGCCGAUGGGGAGCCCGGCGGUGGACUUGAGGCCCUGGAAAGGAGCAACGGCAGUAGCCGCUGACGACAUCACU
rnacentral:lncRNA from 1 species